AGAAAUCCAAGUUUUACAAUCUACGAUCCUAGUCUAUUGUCUUCUCCAAUUCAAGGUGCUAAAAUCUACCAAUGAAGGACUCGAGAAAUGGAACUGAAUCCACCUAGUCUAAGAACCGAAUUGCUCUCUAUUUUUCCCUCAUCCCUAUUUUCAUUCAAAAUGCUUUUGAAACGCAUAACGACAAAUGAAUAAAACGUGACGGCAGCCGCAGUGGCACUGCGGCUGCAGGGGUGUGCCUACGGCACGGAGGUUGGGCGGGAGCCAUGCGCUACGGGUGCAGCCCGUCUACGGCCGUCGUGUUCAGCUCGCUGUGGUUGCCAAUCUCGAGCUCCUCUUCAGUCCUUUGAAAAUUCGAUUUCCAUCCCAUUUUAGAACAAAUGACAUCUGCCACUGUAUCCUGAUGAAAACCAAC
rnacentral:lncRNA from 1 species